CCUACGGGUGGCAGCAGUGGGGAAUAUUGGGCAAUGGGCGAAAGCCUGACGCAGCAACGCCGCGUGAAGGAAGAAGGCCUUCGGGUUGUAAACUUCUUUCGACAGGGAAGAGCAGAAGACGGUACGUGUCGAAUAAGCCACGGCUAACUACGUGCCAGCAGCCGCGGUAACACGUAGGUGGCAAGCGUUGUCCGGAUUUAGUGGGUGUAAAGGGCGUGUAGGCGGGGUGACAAGUCAGAUGUGAAAUCCGGGGGCUCAACCCCCGAACUGCAUUUGAAACUGUUGGUCUUGAGUAUCGGAGAGGCAGGCGGAAUUCCUGGUGUAGCGGUGAAAUGCGUAGAUAUUAGGAGGAACACCAGUGGCGAAGGCGGCCUGCUGGACGACAACUGACGGUGAGGCGCGAAAGUGUGGGUAUCGAACAGGAUUAGAUACCCUAGUAGUC
rnacentral:rRNA from 1 species